UUGUUUGUUUUUAAACUUGCCUCUGUGAU
rnacentral:piRNA from 1 species